UGCCUCGCCCUGCUUCGGCUCGCACACGGUGCGCGCACCCACUGACCUGCGCCCGCUCUCUGGCACUCCCUAGUGAGAUGAACCCGGUACCUCAGAUGGAAAUGCAGAAAUCACCGUCUUCUGCGUCGCUCACGCUGGGAGCUGUAGACCGGAGCUGUUCCUAUUCGGCCAUCUUGGCUCCUCCAGGCCAAUUUACUUUCAAAAAUACCUGCAUCCAGGAACUCUCAUGCUAGCAGGAUGAGGUAAUGACUAUUUCCCAUACUCGUGUCAACUUUGAGCAAUGCUAGGAAUUUCCAUAUGUCCAAACAACUGUUUAUCAGGAAAUGCAACAAGGUACUUUUGACACUGAGCGUGAAAGGAACUCAUUGAACCAAAAUCUUCCAAAAAGACUGGAACAUAAGAGAGCGGAUGAAGAGCAUAAUAGAAGAGAAGUGCCAGGGAGGAGGAUUAUCUUAGGCAGAGCACACUGAGGAUGGAGAGUUACCAGCCCUCCCGAGCUGUCGUUGGCACUGAACCAAUGAGAGCCAUUCAUGUGCCUGUCUGUGCCUUGUGUUUUUCUUCUUCAACAUAUACUUUAGAACAUCCAUUCUGUGCAAAGCUCUGUGCCCACAGCUGUUGAGAUGCCAGAUGCAUGCUGUUCCCUGCCCUGAAGACCCCAGCAGUCAGGCCAGGGAGAGAAGACAUUCUUAGACAACCCAACAGUCGUCCCUGGGGAAAGGCUCCUCAAAGGCUCGAAGCCAGCCUGAGUGGGCCACUUGAAGAGCCACGGGCUGUGGGAAGAUACGGAGAGGCUACUCCGACGUGGGGAGGAGGAAGCACGGUUUCGGGGAAGUGGCCAAGUGGCUUAAGUGAGGAGGGUCUGCUUGAAGGUGGCAGGUCUGCUUGAAGCGGCUUCCUGAAGAGGUGAGCUUAUCACCGGCAUCCUGUGUCCCUUCAGGUUCCCUGAGAACUGGGUCAAGAAAGCAGGUUGGGGUAGGAAACAAACGACACCCCCAUUUCAAACAAUAACUUUUAUUUUAUACUUCUCUAUACUUUGUAGCAAAUCUUUUUUUGCUGAAUUUAAUUUAUAAUAAACUUUUUAAAUUACAUCU
rnacentral:lncRNA from 10 species